UACGUAGGGACCAAGCGUUGUUCGGAUUUACUGGGCGUAAAGGGCGCGUAGGCGGCGUGGUAAGUCACUUGUGAAAUCUCUGAGCUUAACUCAGAACGGCCAAGUGAUACUGCUGUGCUAGAGUGCAGAAGGGGCAAUCGGAAUUCUUGGUGUAGCGGUGAAAUGCGUAGAUAUCAGGAGGAACACCGGUGGCGAAGGCGGCUUUCUGGACAGUAACUGACGCUGAGGCGCGAAAGCCGGGGGAGCAAACAGG
rnacentral:rRNA from 1 species